UACAGAGGUCUCAAGCGUUGUUCGGAUUCAUUGGGCGUAAAGGGUGCGUAGGCGGCGCGGUAAGUCGGGUGUGAAAUUUCGAGGCUUAACUUCGAAACUGCAUUCGAUACUGCCGUGCUUGAGGACUGGAGAGGAGACUGGAAUUUACGGUGUAGCGGUGAAAUGCGUAGAUAUCGUAAGGAACACCGGUGGCGAAAGCGGCGUACUGGGUCUUUUCUGACGCUGAGGCACGAAAGCUAGGGUAGCGAACGGG
rnacentral:rRNA from 1 species